rnacentral:rRNA from 1 species
CCUACGGGGCGCAGCAGUGGGGGAUAUUGCACAAUGGGGGAAACCCUGAUGCAGCGACGCCGCGUGAGGGAAGACGGUUUUCGGAUUGUAAACCUCUGUCUUUGGGGACGAAUUGAGACGGUACCCAAGGAGGAAGCUCCGGCUAACUACGUGCCAGCAGCCGCGGUAAUACGUAGGGAGCAAGCGUUGUCCGGAAUUACUGGGUGUAAAGGGAGCGUAGGCGGGAUAGUAAGUUGAUUGUUAAAACUAUCGGCUCAACUGGUAGAUGCGAUCAAAACUGCAAUUCUUGAGUGAAGUAGAGGCAG